GGUUCAGCUACCUUAGGAGCCCGCUACUUUGAGUUCUCGCUCAGUUCGGUUGAGUUCACUUGCAAUAAAGUAGUUCCCGCUUCAACCUUCAAGUUGCUUGUCACCUCCCGGUUAUUUGCCCAGCUGGACUGCAACAAAUGUAUAUCUUCCUGGCUCAAUCUGGGCAGGUCAUAUGACUUUAGGAAAUUACUGAUGCCUUCACUAUCACCUAUUUUAUUAGAGUUAUGGUUUCAAAAUAAUUUCUAAUUAUCUUCUGUUUUUCUGUAGUGUCUGUUUUGAUAUUUAUUUUUUCAAAAUAUAUGCUAGUAAUUUGGGUUCUCGCUCUUCUUCUCUUUGUUAUCAUGACUAAGGGUCUGUGAUUCUUAUGUAUUUUUUCAAAGAACCAACUCUGAGUUUUGUCAAUUUUUCCAAAUGUUUCUUUUGUUUUUAUUUCACUGAUUUCAACUCUGAUUUUUAUUAUUGCAUGCCUUCCACUGCUUUUGCUGAUGGUUUGUUCUUCUUUUUCUAGUGCUUUGAAGUGUAGUGUGAGGUCAUUAACUUCUUGGCUCUUUCUUCUUUCAAGAAAUAAACUCCAAGCAAUGAAUUGUCUUCUUAGUACUGCUUUUAUAAUGUCCUAGGGAUUUUGAUAUGUGGUGUCUGUGUUCUCAUUUACCUCUAAGAAUUUUUUUAAUUUCCUCCUUGAUAUCUUCUGUAACCCAUUGUUCAUUUAGUAGCAUAUUGUUCAUUCUCCAUGUGAAGAAGGAAUUUUUCUUCCUUAUUUUAUCCUUGAUUUCCAAUUUUAUUCCAUUACAAUGGGAUAAAAUGCAUGGUAGUAACUCUACUCCUUUAUAUUUGUUAAGAGUUGCCCUGGGCAUAAUAUAGCGUCUAUUUUUGAGAAGGAUCCAUGUGCUGCUGAGAUAUUGUGCUGCUUGAUAUUGGUUGAUAUUUUAUAUAUGUCAACUAAGUCUAACUUGUGGUUUUGAGUUCUAUGGUUUCAUUAUUCAAAUUUGAUUGGACGGUCUUCCCAGUGGUGAGAGAGGUGUGCUAAAAUCACCCAUGAUUAUUAUGCUUUGGUCUAUUUGACUCUUGAACUAGAGAAGAAUUUUUUAUAUGAACAUAGCUGCACCAUGGUUUGGGGCAUAUAUAUUAAAGAUUGUUAUGUCUUGUUGCUGUAUGGUUCCCUUGAUCAAUAUGUAGGGUCCUUCCUUAUCCCUUUUGAUAAACUUUGGCUAGAAGUCUACUUUAUUUGAUAUGAGUAAGGACACCUCUGCUUGCUUCUGAGGUCCGUGUGAGUGUAUGAUUUUUCCCAGCCUUUUACCUUCAGUCUAUGUAUCUCUUUUCCUAUCAAAUGAUUUUGUUGUACACAGCAUAUUGUAGGAUCUUUUUAAAAAUAAUCUAGUCUACUAGCCUGUAUCUUUUGAAUGGUGAGUUUAUGCCAUUAACAUUUAGGGUUACUAUUGAGAUAUGGUUUGUAUUUCCAGCCAUAUUUGUUUAUCUUUGUUAUUUAACUUGACUUAAUUUUCCUCUUUGAUUAGUUUUUUUUUCCCAUAGUGUACUCCAUUCCACUGUUGGUUUUCAUUGUUCUUUUCCAUUUCCUCUUAAUGACAUAUUUUUCCAAGGAUAUGUUGACCGCUGGUUUUGUACCUGCAGAUUCUCUUAACUUUUGUUUAUCAUGGAAGAAUUUUAUUUCAUCGUCAACCUGACACUUAGUCUUGCUGCAUACAAGAGUCUUGGUUAUACUCUGGUUUCCUCUUCAGAUCGUAUAAAUCUUUCACCUUUUACAAGAGUCUUGGUUAGAAUAUAGUAUAUUUUAGCAUUGGAAAUAUAUUGUUCCAGGAUCUUCUAGCUUUCAGGGACUGUGCUGAAAGAUCAGCCUUUAAACUAAUUGGUAUACCCCUAUAUGUGAUCUGAUGCUUUUUUCUUGUGGCUUUUAAAAUUUUCUUCUUGGAAAAUUCAAUGGAGAACAAUCUAAAAAAUACCUGACAAGUCCUCCUCAACACUGUCAAGGUCAUCAGAACAAGGGAGUUCAUAGAAACUGUCACCCCAAGAGAAGUUCAUGGAGACAUUAUGACUGGAUGUCAUGUUGGAUCCUAGAUGGAAUCCUAGAACAGGAAGACACAGUACCAAGAAUCCAAAAGAUAUGUGACUUCAGUUAAUUUUAACAUACCAGUAUUUCUUCUUCAUGAUGAAUGGUCUAAGAUGUUAACACUUUAGAAACAGCUCACCUAAGUCAUAAUAAGGGAAGAAACCAGGCUGAGGCUACCUGGGAAAUCUCUGCAAUUUUUUUCAAUUUCUGUAUAAAGAUAAAACUAAGCCUGGCAUGGUAGCACAUGCCUGUAAUCCCAGUGUCUUGAGGGGCUGAGGCAAGAGGAUUUCAAGUUCAAAGCCAGCCUCAGCAACUUAGUGAAGCCCUAAGUAACUCUGUGAGACCCUACCUCUAAAUAAAAUACAAAAAAAUGGCUGGGGAUGUGGCUCAGUGAUUAAGCACACCUGGAUUCAAUCCCCAGUAACCCCCCCCCCCAAAAAAAAAGAUUAAACUAAUGUAAAACCUUAGGAUAUGGUUGUACUUUCUCAAACACCUACUUGUUUAAUUAUUCAUACAGUUAAUUACUGGUAACUGACACUCUUAGCUAGUUCUGUAUUUUAUUAUGAACAUUUAUAACACAAAAAUUAAAUAGUUCAAACUAAUAUAAAAUUCAAAGUAUGUGGGCUGGGGUUGUAGCUCAGCAGUAGAGCACUCACCUAGCAUAUGUGAGGCACUAGGUUUGAGCCUCAGCACCACAGAAAAAUGAAUAAAUAAAAAUAAAGGCAUUGUGUCCAACUACAACUAAAAAAAAUUUAAAAAUUCAAAGUAUGUGCCACUUUUACAUAUUUCAUGUUGAAGUAAUAACAUAUGUGAACUUGUUAUAUUUUUAUUCUGUCACUAUGUUUUAGGUUUGCCUUCUUAAAACUUGAUCACUAGAGGGGAAAAAAUGACAUUUUAGAGAUUUUAUUUCAACUCAUGGUUUAACUUUCCCAAAUGAGUGACUUUAUAUAAAAAAAGUUCUAAUGGCAAAUUGACUCACUGUGACUGAAUCACUUAUCCCAAAGAAUCCUUGUCUCUAUUUUAUUUCUUUGCAUACCUUUUAGCUGCAAUAUAAUCAAAUAUUUGUCACUGAAACAAAUAGUCAAAGAACGUCCAACUCCUCCAAGACCUCUGCAGGAAGUGGUAAGCCAAGAGAAGCAAAGGUGUCAACUCAGUCCAGGAGUGAUAUUAGAUGCUGCUGUGUUGUGGAGAAACACUCUAUCUUUUAGAAAUCACAAGGAGCUAUGGAUGCCCAAACUCUUGCAUGAGUCUAAAUCUAGUUGAACUUCUAAGUAAUUUUAUUGUCACUAGCUCAUCAUGAAGCUAAUGACAACUAAAGGAUCUAUGGGUCUGGGGAUGUAGCUCAGUGAUAGAAAGAUUUCCUAGCAUGCAGGAGGCCCUAGGACAAACCCCCAGAACCACAAAAGAAAAAAAAGAAUUUGUGUCUUAUUUGUUUAAUCAAAUAAAAAAUGAAUAAUCACUCCUCUUAAGAAAACAUGUUGGGUCUAAAACACUUGAGACUUUCAGAAUCAAAAUACUCUCCUUAUAGUGUAUUGCAUAGCUAGACCACCAUGAAGAGUGGUGUCACAUCAUAAAACAUGUUCACAUGAAGCAUACCAUCAAAACAACAAAAAGGCUUUAUUGACAGUUGAUAAGAAAAAUGAACAUAAUCUAGCUUAGGAAAUUAUUAACACAUUGGAAACAUGUGUUAAUAAGUAGACAUCAAAAUCCUCCAGGACAAGCCAGGCACUUUGACACAUGCCUGUCAUCUCAGCUAUUUGGGAGAAUAAAGCAGAAGGACCACAAAUGUGAGGCCAACAUUAGCAAUUCAGCUAGAACCUGUCUCAAAAUGAAAUUGUAACGAGGACUGAAGACAUAUGUAAAUCAGGGCUUUCAUAGCACAUGCAAGGUCCUGGGUUUAAUCCCCAGUGCCAAAAAAAAAUUUCUCUAGGUGAGACAUCUGAUAACAGACAACUAUGGCAGGUACAGAACAGGGCAGAAGCCAUUAUGUCAACUUCCUCAAAAUGUUUAAAGUAAACCUGUACUUUGUUCAGCUCACAAUACUAACAUGUCUGAUUUCUGCUUCUAAUAAUUCAAAUGUAACCAUUUAAAUAUGAUCAAAAGUUUGUGUACUUUUCUAAUGAAUCCAACAAAUUUGAGAGAGAGACUCAACUGUGUUCUGAAAGCCACCUUAUAAGCACAUAGGAGCACCAACAUUAGGAUAAAAUGUAAUCAUUGUAUUUCCCACAUGAAAUAACCCUAAAUGCUAAUGAAUACAUAAUUUCAAAAGAAAGACAAAUUUCUGAAAUCAAAAGCAAAUUGAUACAUUUUUAAAUAAUAUUUUGAACAGAGGCAAAACACUUAAAGAGUUCUCCCACAAGAAUUCCUGACAACAUAAAGUAUCAUGCUCAUUAGAAGGCCCAUCGCUUUGUAUGCAAGGAAUAAGAGAACUUUCUGAUAAAUGUAGAACUUUAAUAGGACAUAUUGACAUGCUUUCUAAAUUUUAAAAGAAAAUAUCUGUUUUUAAAAAAGCUUAUUUGUAGUAAAUGUAACUGAAUUACAAAAAAAGCAGCUACUGACUUGUCUCUUACAUUUUGUAAUGAUUUGCAUCUCAGGAAAUUUCAUAUAUAGUGGUUUUAAAUAUCAUGAAAUAUCAAUAGUUGACAUUAAAAUAUUAACAUCCCACUUCUUUUUCAAAACUGAUUUGAAAUUUUCUUAUAAUAAUUUCAUAUGGAUUUGUGAUUAUGUGAUGGAAGGAAUACAUGGAGCAGGUGACAUGCAUAUUUCUUCUACCAUUUCUGGGAGCAUGUUUGGAAACCUUAUCAUUUAGUGUUUGGGGAUACAAAAAGGUGUACCCUGUGUCUACAUAUAAGAGAUGAUGCAUGAAUACAACAUACGUUGAAUAAAAAAUAUAACAGGUUACUAUUUUAAAUAAUGGAUUGACUUGAUAUUUUAAAAAAUACAUGAAAUCUGGUAUUCAAAUACUAACAUUCAAUCCAAGUAGGUAUACAUCUAGUGGUAAUAUUAGGGUUACUAAUUAUAACAAACAGUGUUUGAGUUUUGCUUCAAAAAUGAUGAUGGAAAUCAAAAGUAAUGUGUUAUAAAAGAAAUCUCAUGAAAAAGCAAGUAAAGCAACAUGGAGAAAUACAUGAGUUCUGAUACAGGGAGUGAAUGAAAGAGAAUCAUAUGCAUAUCAAUUUGUGAAUGGAUGAAAUGAUACAUCCUGUGAUGUAUAUAUACUGAAGAAAUAGGAAUAUAACAAUUUUGAAAGAAAAUUAUCUUCAAAACACACAUCAUGUUUCAUAUGAAUAUACAUUCAUUGAUGUUAAACUGUGUCACAUACUGUAGAAAUAUUAGGGUUAGUACUCAAUAUUCACUGAAGUUCAUUUUGAGUAUUCAGAAAUUAAUAUGUAUGUCAAGAAAAUGAAUAUUUCUGAGAAAUAUCUUGUGAAAAGUUGAUUAGAAAUCCACACAGUUGGACAUGAAAGGAUCAAGGUAGUGUAUGUAUAUGACACAUGUGUUUCAUGUUUGCAAAUCCGUACAGUGUGUGUGUGUGUCUAUACA
rnacentral:lncRNA from 1 species